CGUCUCGCCAUUCUCUUAAAAAAAUGGAGCCACCGCUCCCGCGAUACGGGUCCCCUCUCGCGCCCGCGAUGCCGCCGCCACCGUCUGCCGCCGUCCCGGCCAACGCUGGCCGCAUACGACGCCGACACUCACCGGCGAAGCUGCGCCUUGGUCUGCUCCACUGGAUCCCCAUCCACGCAUCUUCGUUCCGCCCCCGAGCGCGACGCAGCGUCUAACCCUAGCCGGGGGGGUCGGCUCGGUCGCCGUCGCGGUUCCCGCGCCACCGCGCCUCCUGCUUAUCCCCUACGUCGUCUCUUGCUCCUCCUCGACGCCCCGUGCUCCUGCUCCUUCGCCUCUUUUGCGUGCGGCUUUGCGUGACCGUGUGGUGGCGCCGCCCGGUGGCGGUGUUGCUGCCGUUGCCGCUCUCGCCUCCUCUUCGAGGCUAUGCUCCUUCGACCGUUAGUGUAUCUCAACAAGCUCUGCCACCUCUCUCCCCUCUCUCACUGGUUUGUUUCGAAUGGUAUUACAGCCUGCCUACCAUGUGUUUGUGAAAAUGCUUCUUAGGCAUGGACAAUUUAGGUCUGUCUCUUUUGUGCCGUUUACUUCUCAUGUUCGUUAGCAGAUAGGUUUGGUGGCGUAUUAUAGUGUAGAAUUAACAUGCGUUGUGCCACUUAUUGAGUUGAUUAAUAAAAAAUUGUGCUCCCCAUCCAUUCUUCAUGUACCCUGUGAGUAGGGUUAUCAACCAAUGGACAAUAGUAUGAUAAUUUGUUCCAGAAGGAAAACCCUACCUGUAGGUGCCUUUUAUAGUCUUCCUAUUCGCCAAAGUUGUGUCUGGUCAAUUCCUCAUGUAACCGUUAACAGAGAUUUCAUUUUGAUUUUAGUGAUUUAACAAAAUUCAGUCCUGUUUCUGGUGCCCUCUUCUUGCUAUCAACAAAAGUAGAUCAUCACUCUUGCUAUCAGUAAUUGUUUCCAUUCAUUGACCCAAAUUUAACGAACCGUAUUGCAGGGACUGCAAUCGAUUUGUCGUCCCCAAUCGUCAUUGAGGGAAAAGCUUGCUGGGAUCUGUACAUCGAUGGACUUGUCGUGUUCUGAUGGUAAUUUACUUGAUGCACUAGCUGUUGCGAUAAAGAUAGCACUUUUGUUUUCAUCAAGUGAUGUUGUGCAACCUGGCUGGCUGGUGAAGUACCUAAGAGCGAGAUGGUGAGCUCUUCCCUAUUUCCCAGUGGUGCUGCCGAUAAGCGAGAUCUACGUUUUGUUCCUUGGAUCUGCUCUGUUCAAACGUUUAUCCUGUUGUGGUCGUGGCACAUACUCCGGAAGCAAUUCAGUUCGCUCUAGGCCUUACCGAUGGCAUUGUUUAUAUCAUGAUUGGAAGCUUGCAGUUUUUACUUCAACUUUUAGUUGAAAACCUGAUAUUUAGAAUGCUAUGAAGUUACGUGUAUUACAUAUUUGUAAUGAUGUGAUAUAUAGAGUUAUGGAUUAUGUAUAUGUAUUACAGGAUUGAACACUUUUCUGGUACAUUUGUACAUUUGGAUUAUAUGCAUACA